rnacentral:rRNA from 1 species
GUGGCUCGGUAGGCUCUGGGUCACCUCCCACCCGUGUCUAUCGUACCUUGUUGCUUCGGCGGGCCCGCCGUUUCGACGGCCGCCGGGGAGGCCCUGCGCCCCCGGGCCCGCGGCCGCCGAAGACCCCAACAUGAACGCUGUUCUGAAAGUAUGCAGUCUGAGUUGAUUAUCGUAAUCAGUUAAAACUUUCAACAACGGAUCUCUUGGUUCCGGCAUCGAUGAAGAACGCAGCGAAAUGCGAUAAGUAAUGUGAAUUGCAGAAUUCAGUGAAUCAUCGAGUCUUUGAACGCACAUUGCGCCCCCUGGUAUUCCGGGGGGCAUGCCUGUCCGAGCGUCAUUGCUGCCCUCAAGCACGGCUUGUGUGUUGGGCCCCCGUCCCCCUCUCCCGGGGGACGGGCCCGAAAGGCAGCGGCGGCACCGCGUCCGGUCCUCGAGCGUAUGGGGCUUUGUCACCUGCUCUGUAGGCCCGGCCGGCGCCAGCCGACACCCAACUUUAUUUUUCUAAGGUUGACCUCGGAUCAGGUAGGGAUACCCGCUGAACUUAA